UACGUAGGGUGCAAGCGUUAAUCGGAAUUACUGGGCGUAAAGCGCGCGUAGGUGGUCAUGUAAGUCCGCUGUGAAAGUCAAAGGCUCAACCUUUGAAAGCCGGUGGAUACUGCAUGACUAGAGUACGGAAGAGGCGAGUGGAAUUCCUGGUGUAGCGGUGGAAUGCGCAGAUAUCAGGAGGAACACCAAUAGCGAAGGCAGCUCGCUGGGACGUUACUGACACUGAGGCGCGAAAGCGUGGGGAGCGAACAGG
rnacentral:rRNA from 1 species